UUAUUCUAAAAAAGCCCUUUAAACACACAACCAAUGGCAAAAACUUCCAUGUUGUUUCCUUGUUUGAUGGUUCUAUUUCUCAUAAUAUUUACGACAGGGGUUGUGGGUGAUUGUAACUACGAGUGCUAUAAUAAAGCUCGUUGUAGUCUUCUGAAGUGUCCUCUUCAUUGCGAAAGGGAAUGCAUCAGAAUGUGUUGCACUUGCGUGUGUCGUGGAAAUGAAAAACCUCAAAUAAAUAUGUGAUAAUUUCAUGCCUUUGUUGUGGAAUUUAUUAGUAAUAAAAGAAGUUGAAGUAAUAACAUGAUCAUUCUUGUUCAUCAA